rnacentral:rRNA from 1 species
AUGGGCCGGCCGCCGGCGCACGGCCGGAUCGAGCGACACACUAGCCAGGAAAGGCCGGGGCGGUGCGUGCCAGCCAGCCGGCCGGACGCCGGGAACCGAGCUGGAAAUGAAUGCACGUGCCCUGCUUCUCCACCUCGCGCGCCUCGCCAUCCUCCUCUCCUAUCCAUGGAUCUCGAUCGGCAGCAGCCAGCGGAGAAACUACGCGCGCAGUAUGCAAGGCUUUCAACACUAAUUAAGGACCUGGCAGAGAACGCUUGUUUGGACGGUGCACGCUCUCGUCGAGAUUAUGUAGAGGCCGGAGCUAGAGAGGUUAACCGCUCCAUGGACGGGACGGGAGGGAGGAAGGCACAUGAAUGGUAA